AUACGUUGGACACACUACUAUUUCUAAGGUGCAGCAAUUAACAGCUUCCAGUGAAUCAUGAAGACGGCUCUCUUUCUGAUGCUACUCAUUGGGCUGAGCAUUGCUCUUCCAGUCGAAGAAGAGCACCACCGUGAAGCACGACAUAGCUCUGGAAUUAAUCCAGCAAAAGGUAGCAGUCCUGCCUCUGGUACAUCUUUAGACUUGGCCUCGAUUCUACAGAUGGUGAAAGCCAUAUUAGCAGCACUUGGGCUUUAAUAUGGAAGGACAUGAGGCUUCACAAACUCCUGCAGCAGAACAAACUCUUUUUCCAGCUGGCUAAAAGCAGCCGUCUGCAGUCUUGUUUCUCCUUUCUAGAUUUUCUGUAGAAUUAUUGUUUUCCUUUCAGUGAUUAUGGAAAUGUGCUUACAUGUGCAUGCAGCAUGCAAUGAUCAAUAAACUACUC